AUGGACACGCGAUCAGAUUCGCUACCGCAGAGCUCUAGCUCCGGAGCGCGCCAAGUUGAAGGCCAAAGUCGAGGUUGGGAUGCCCGAUGCCUGGCGCGGGGAGACGGAGGAAGCAAAGUGCUGCUGCCUGGUGGAAAUACAGUAUUAUAUAAUGACAUGCUACUAUGCAUCUCUACCUAACUCCUCGUCUGGUGAUGCCAUAUUGAAAUCAGCCAUACUGAGAGUAUUUACACACUGCUGAAGUCAGUAAAUGCUACAAAUCAAGGCUUGAAUGUAACCUACAUGAGAAAGAGUUGCCUUGCUCACUGCCGUAUCCCAGUAUCCCAAGAACCUUGGAGAUGCUCUAUGAAUACUGAAUGAAUCUGAGAGGAAACUAGCCCGAAGGGGGAAGGCUCUGGAAGCAAGCCCUCAUGGACCAACGGAGAAAAAGGAAACUGAAUCUUGGGGAGAUUAAGCAACUCUUUCAAGGUCAACCGGGGAGCGGCAGAACCAGAGUUCGAAGGAAACCUUUCUGAAUCUGACGUCUGCCCCUUCUAAAUUAGGACUCUCAUCUAUCAGCCUGUGAGAAAAAAUACAGAAAGCAUCAUUCAGGCAACACAUGAACUCAAGACACUGAGACUUCGCUAACCUUCCUCGCACACAAGGUCCUAAAGGAACUACCACACGCAUGUCCACAUUUGAUGCACAUAACAGACUCUCACCGCAUUGAAAUAAACCCCAGUAUGAUCAUAAUAGCUUUUUUCUUUCAAUUUUUAUUGAACACAAGUAUUCCGACAGAAUGCAAAGUCAAAAUUCUCAGUUAGUACUCAGUAUUUACACCAGUGAGAAUGGAAACAAAGGUGGUAUCGAUGUUUCACUUGGUAAAAAGUUUUAUAACAAGAGAGAAGGCCCCCGAAGUACAGAAUGCUGGGUAGGGAUGUUAAUGGAGGUCUGAAAACCGCCAUCCAGACAGACAGCCUCAAGUGAAAACCUGGGACUCGGAAGGCUCCAUAGAAAAGUGUGAAAAUAGAGUUCCACCUCCAAAGCUGCACUAUAUACACCACAGCCCUGCAGGGUCCAGUGGCCCUGCUCGUCACACUUGAGUGCUCCUCCAGCAGAACUUGGCCAUGCCGGUCUUCAUGUGAAUACAUAUGUAUGGCACAUACACACAUAGACACAUAGACAUUGGAAACUGGAGUUGAUCCCUCCUUCAAAAAUUAAAAAAGAAAAUUAUAAGCUUUGAUCUCUUAACAUAAAAGAUAAAACAUCUUGGAAUAAAAUGACUCCCUCUUUGAUUUUAGAGAAAGCAUUGCUUUUUUUUUUUUUUUUUUUUUUUUUUUAAAGGAAAAACUCUUGCAUGCUGAGACAAACCUAUGUGUAAUGGGAGAGAACAGACCAAAAUGUGGGCAGAGUCUUAGGUCCUAGCUAAUGGCAGAGCCAGGGUUCUAGGGGGUCAGCUGUCCCGGGCCAGGUGAUCUGAGGGCUGACCUGUUUCUUCCUAACCAUCAGAACCAAAACCAGUUUGACCUAACCACAACCACUUUGACAGUCUUGACAAGGUAUGGCAUGGGCUUGGCCUGGUGUGGCAAAGCCAUCGACAUUACAAGAUGAAGAACUGAGUCCACUGAACAGCCUGGUGACCAGAAGAGCCUGCCCCUCACUGCUGGGCCCUCCCGGUCUCAGACACCCAGGCUCUCACAUUCUACUGUGUGCUCUAAGAUCUCUCUUCAUGUUCCUCUAUUCUGAGGGCCUGUGCAUUUGAACCAGAGAUCUGUGCAGGCCCUAGAAUCAAAGGGGCCAGGGCUGUGUGUUCUGGGAUCCUCCAUUUCCAUCCCCAGGAGCUGAGAAAAUGCAACAUAACCCCACAUUGAGCAAAUGACAAGACCAUUAUUCUUCACAGUUUGAAAUUAUAAUCUAGCAUCGCCACUGAUCAGACUGCAGAAGUGUCAGAACGUUGGGGAGAGUGGCCCACAGAAUGGACCCAGAGGCAGCCUUGCCACCCUAACCUCUUGCUGCUUUGUACCUUAGGAGAGGAGCGCAUGCGGAGUACUGAUUUCUGUUUACUUAGCAUCAUCUUCAUCAUCAUCAUCAUCAUCUGUAUUUCAUUUUCUUUGUUAAAAGGCUUCGAUUCCGUUUGAGUGAUUUUUGUUUCCUGAAUAUUUUUUCUGAACUAUCUGCUAUACCUUCCACAACCAAACUAUGUUGAAGUUUUAUUUCAAUACUAUGACAAAAACACGUUUCACACUAAAAUAUUCACGCAUCCACAGUGCACAAGCUUGCAGUUCUAAAGUAGAAUGAGGGAAAAAAAAGCAAAAUUUCUAUACAAAGGGCUGGCUUUUCCCUUCUCCCCCCCCUCCCAUCCCCCUUAAAGUUUCUGUAUUUUUUCCCCCACUUGGUUUCCAAUCCAGGAAAGUUGUGUUAUGACUCCAGACAGUAGGUUGUUUCUUUCUUCUUUUGUUUCUAUAAAUGCUGCCUAAGUGAACAGAAGGCCGAUGUUACUUUACUUCAACAGAUUUCCAAAAAAAGACACUAAUUCCCUGAAGCACACAUGCUCUUCCGCUCAAAUCUAGAUUCUGGGCUCAAAAGGAAAUGGUAUGUAUAGAUUUUAUUUGGCUUUCUACACAAAGGGGAUGUGUGGGGUAAUAAUGUGUGUUCACCAAGACCAGCCCCAACUAUACAAUCUUCUCUGCUUCAUUCAACAAAGCCUAAGGAGUCCUUCAAAAGAAGGGUGAGAACGCCUGGGAGCAGAUCCCUUUUCACAGAUGCAGGCAGGUGGCGGCUAAUCAGAAAGUGGUCUAACCCCCAAAGAAACACAAAAAUAACCAAAAAUUCAAAAGCAAAACCAUUCCAGAAUGAGAUGGAUUUUCACCUGAGUGGGACCCAGGCAAAAACUGCAGAUCAGAAAAGAGGGGAAGAGCAGCUGUAAACAAUCAUGUUUUGUAAAGUUGUCCUGUGCUAAAGCAAGCGUGGGAUGAUCCUACCUACCUCUAGGUGGUAUUUGUUACCUUAAAAAAUAAAAGGCAGCUAUUUUACACGGACAUUUAAACACAACCAAAGUCAAACAUUUGUCACCUUGUAAACACUGGAAAACAAAGUUGGCAGAAAGAAAGAAAGAAAAAAGAAUGUAAAAGAAAGAAAAAGAAGUCUGAAUACUGCAAAUUGAGAUCUACCCCCAGAAGCUGCAAUUUGGCAUUCGUCCUAUAAAAUAAGAGUCUACGUGGGAAUUGAAUUCAGCUAGAAAGGGUGACACACUUUGCAUACUGAACAAAUACAAAGUGAACAGAAAUUAUAACUUAUUUAUGAGGUUUUACAGAGUUCAAACUUGACUGAAAGUAUAAAAAUAAACUGUGGACUUUGUUCAUUCGAUUAGUCUUAGUGCCUGAAAGUAUUUCUCUGAAACUGGUCUGUGCCAAUCGGGUAACACCAAGUGUGGUCUUCCUGAACCUAGAUUUCGUUUCUGAGCUUCCUAGAUUCUUAAUUUGGGGUCCUUUUGUUUGAUUUUUUAACGGUUUCAGGGAACGGAGUGUCCUAGUUUGGCUGUGGGUUUAACCUUUUUGUCUCAUUUUCUUACAAGUGAGUGUGCAACAAAGGGACCCUUUCUAUAAACCUACAAAAAGGAGAUUCCCAUGUUUUAUCUGUUUAGUUUUUUUUAAAGGCAAAAGACACUAGAGAAAUGAGAUGUGUGUGUGUGCAUGUGUGUUUGUGUGUGUGCGUGCGUGUGUGUGUCUGUGGUGUUGGAAAUGCUCUGGUGAAGCUGCUGUGUCACUUUUUAUUUUGAUCUUUGCUCGGUUCUCUUCACCCAUCAUGCUUUGCUCUCGUUCUCCUUUGUCUGUGUGGCGUCAUUGGGGACCGUCUUGACUUCGGCUGGCGCUGGCUUCGUUUCUGUCUCCUGGCACUCUGGCUUUGCUUCUACGGGGCCCUUCCUGCAGAGAAUCAGGAAAACAGAACCACUGAGACCACGGUCUGCAGACAUCUCGCCCCUGCAUCCAGGCCUUGGGGACAGCAGGGAGGAGGAGGGGUUCUCCAGUGACAGCACCCGGCUCCAACCUCUGCCCGUCAAAUCACCUGGGAGCACUAAAAAUCACCCAAGCCCGAGCUGUGUUCGCGGAAAUCCUGAUUUAAUUGGUCCGGACACAGUGACUUUUAAA
rnacentral:lncRNA from 1 species